CCAUCUAUCGCUUGGUCCAGAAAUUUGGGAGGUUCCUUCUUUGUUAAUAAGAUAUACCAUUUUUUCGAUGGGAUAGAAUAAGAUGAUGAUAUAGGUAGAAAGUAUCUGGUAGUCAGUAGAGGUAGUUUUUAAAGACUUGGCAAGAAUUUGGUACUUCUUAAUUAAAGGGAAAGCAUCACUGUUACUGGGUACCUACUGAUAAAAGAUUAUCUUUAUUUCAAUGACCUAACUGUAUAUAGAUGGAGACAAACAUGCAAGCAAAUCAUCACAAUGCCAUGUAAUGAGUGCAGCAAUGAAGUAUGGUCAGUCCUCCAUGUCUGUGGGUUCAACCAACUGCAGAUGGAAACUAUUCAGAGAAAAAGUUCCACAAAGUUCCAAAAAGUAAAACUUGAAUUCACCAUAUGCUGAGUAAUACACUGAAUCCUUGCAAAGGACGUGAUGUGUAGGCAUUGUGUUAGGUAUUACAAGUACUCUAGAGAGGACUUAAAGUAUAUGGGAGUAUGCGCAUAGGUUAUAUGCAAAUACUAUUCUGUUUUAUUUCAGGGACUUGAGCAUCCUUGGGUUUCCAUAUCUGUGGGGGCUCCUGGAACCAACCCCCAGGGAUACUGAGAGACAACUGACAGACCAAGUGCUGAGAGUCACAGAUGAAGAUCAGGUACUUCUGCCUGGAGGUACACAGAAGGCUAUUCAGGCUUGAAAUUAGGUGGGGCUGUGAGGCAGGUGGUAUGUGUCAUUUCUGAACCAAAGCACAGAAGAAUGGCUCUGAGCUGUCCCUACGCUUUCUUCCCCUGCUGCAGCAAUGAGGAGGGCUCGUGUGAAGAUGGUGGAGCCACAAGAGUAAAGCAGCCUACACCAUCGAACCACUGCCCAGGUUGGCUGCUCCAGUCAUUCCAGUCCACAACGGACUGGGUGUGAGUAACAAACAAACAUUUAUGAGCUGAACCACUGAGAUCUGGUGGUUAAUCUGCUACUAUAUUAUUACUCGUGCUAUCCUGAAUAUGUAAUAUUCAUAUCCCAGGACCCAGUAGUUAGCCUCCUACCUUACAGGAUUUCUCCAUACAAGAAUGCUCAAAGCAGCACUGUAGGCUAUAGUGAAAAAUCGGAAAUAAUGUCCAGCAAUGAAGAAUGAAUUACUCGUGGUAAAGUCAUUCAAUGGAAUACCAUUGGAGAUUUUGGAUAAAUUUCAAAAACAUAUUACUUAAUAAAGUAAUAAACUUACAGAACGAC
rnacentral:lncRNA from 1 species